rnacentral:rRNA from 1 species
UCUAAGUUUGAUGGCGACCGGCGCACGGGUGAGUAACACGUAUCCAACCUGCCGAUGACUCGGGGAUAGCCUUUCGAAGAAAGAUUAAUACCCGAUGGCAUAGUUCUUCCGCAUGGUAGAACUAUUAAAGAAUUUCGGUCAUCGAUGGGGAUGCGUUCCAUUAGGUUGUUGGCGGGGUAACGGCCCACCAAGCCUUCGAUGGAUAGGGGUUCUGAGAGGAAGGUCCCCCACAUUGGAACUGAGACACGGUCCAAACUCCUACGGGAGGCAGCAUG